GAAAAAGAAGAAGACAAGGAAAUGGCGGAAUUCCUGCAAACAAAGCUUUCCAAAAGCUGCCUCCAGAAAGCAACCCCUGUCAAAGAGAGGAAGAUGAUGUCCAGAGGGCAGCAAACCUCCACACCAUACAUGACCAAGACAGGCCUCACCCUGCUCAAGGAAUGCUGCGGUUUCACCUGUUCCAUUAUGUAGACUCUCUCCCAGGCCUCCUCUGCACAGGACAAGAUCAUGGGCCUUCAGGAAGAGUCUGCAGCUCCUGACAGCUUCAACCUCCCUUCA
rnacentral:lncRNA from 1 species